UGAAAUUGUAGUUUUACAUUAAGUUGGUUAAAUUGACUAUUUUUAAUAUAAAUUAAUUUUAGUUUGUAUGUUUUUAAUUGUGAAUUCGAUUUUUUUUGGUGUGUUUGUUGUUAUUUUGAUUUUCUAUGUUUUUAUUUUAAGUUUACUGAAUUUUAGUUUUUAAAAAUUGUUAUGUUUAAAAGAUUUAUUUUGUAUAUUUAAAAAAAAAGGUAGAUAGCAUGACAAGUAUGACAACCUGCACCUACCGAAUGGCAACUUUUGAUAAGAAUGUCCAAAGUGUACCACACCCACCAGCCAUAUGGGUAAACGCGGCUAUUAAACUCGUAUUGGAGUGUUGGAUUAUCAAUCUCAUCGAUGAUUCUUCAAUCGGGGUAGGAAAUCAAGGGCACGAAAACUAAAAUCACAUUGAAAAACGAAGAUGCAAUAAUCACAAUGUAGAAGACGAUGAGUUUCCUAUCGGUUUUUAAGUUCUGCUACAGUGCUACUAUUGACUUUUUAAUCUGAAGAGUGAAGAGUGAAGACAAGAGUUCAAGACUUCAGAAUUGGAGUUCAAAGUUUGCUCCAGGCUUCUAGAGGUUUAUUUUUCUCUCUCAGUAUGCCCAAAUUCUUUGAGUUCUUGGCCGGCUUCGCAAUUAUAAAUCGAAAUUUUUUGGAGACUUAGAGGUCAAAUUAUAAGGAAUUUUUAUUUCAUGGCUUUCUUGGUAAACGUUAUAUAUAUAUAUAUAUAUAUAUAUAUAUAUAUAUAUAUAUAUAUAUAUAUAUAUGUUUUUUAUUUGAUUAGUUUGAUGUUUUAAAUACUAAGUUUUGAAUUUUUAAUAUUUAAAGUAAUAUGUCUGAAUAUGUUGUGAUUUUGAAACCUAAUGUCACCUGAGUACUUGACCAUUUAAAUAUUUGGAGUUCAAAACUACUUCUAUAAUUCUAUAAAGCAUUCAUUUUUUUGGUUAUUUUAGUUUCAUGAUGGUAGACACAACUAAAAUAGUAUAUCUACCAUCUUUCUCUAAUAUACAGUUAAGAACUUGAUUAACAUAUAAGUAUUACCGGUUAUAUAUUUAGUCCUUAAAAGUUUAAAUUUGAUUAUUCCUCUUUAUUUAAUCAAUUAUUAAUAUCUUGUUUUGUUUUUAAGUUAGAAAGACUUGAGGCUUUGUUAUUAUAGAUAUUGUGAAUUUAAUCAAUUAUUAAUAUCUUGUUUUAUUUUUUAGUUAGAAAGUCUUGAGGCUUUGUUAUUGUAGAUAGUUUGAGCUAGAUUUUCAAUCGGCGGAAAUGUAUAAUGUAUUGGUAGUGUAUUUACUUUUGAAGAGGAUCAAUGUAAUGUUGUAUUAAUAUGAACUUUAAUUAAUUAAAAAUUUUACUGUGCUUAUGUUUAAUAAAUUUAUGUUAUGUAAACUUUUGGUGCAUCGUUCAAUACAAAUAUAUGGGCAUCAUUUCAUCAUCUCGCCCCAGGUAUGAAAAAUCAAUGGACCAGCCGUGGUUUUGCAUAUAGUAACAAAAUAAAAUCUUACAAAAUCUAUUCUAAAACUAUUUUUGUAAACUACAUCAAUUCGCUCCAUAACUGUUUACAUAAAUUAAUUCUUACAUUGUUUCAACAAUUAUAUUGAGUGAUUUCCUUAUAUACAGAUUUAGAAAUCAACAAUAUCAUUAUAUAUGUAUGAUAUAACCAAAAACAGACACUACAAAAAACAUAUAGAAAUGAGUGACAUUUCAUCUGCUUCUAGAAAAAAAAGCGUAAAAUGUUGUGAGUUAUGUUUUACCACACACCUAUUGCCCAAAUCCCAACCAAAUGCCUACACCAUUAAACCGAUUGUCUGUAUCAGAAAAUUGCAAUCAUAUUUCUCCUUACCUCUUACACCUCUUACAGACUCCAACGAAUAU